GUCGGCGUCGGCCGGGAGCGAGAGGUCGAGCAGCGCCUUGACCGCGGCGGUCCGCAGGUGGUGGUCGGCGGCGCGCUCGUUCCGGCUGGAGGCGACGAUC
rnacentral:tRNA from 1 species